rnacentral:rRNA from 1 species
UGCGCAGGCGGUUGAGUAAGACAGAUGUGAAAUCCCCGAGCUUAGCUCGGGAAUGGCAUAUGUGACUGCUCGACUAGAGUGUGUCAGAGGGAGGUGGAAUUCCACGUGUAGCAGUGAAAUGCGUAGAUAUGUGGAAGAACACCGAUGGCGAAGGCAGCCUCCUGGGACAUAACUGACGCUCAGGCACGAAAGCGUGGGGAGCAAACA